CCUACGGGAGGCAGCAGGGGGGAAUAUUGCGCAAUGGGCGAAAGCCGGACGCAGCGACGCCGCGUGAGGGAUGAAGGUCUUCGGAUCGGAAACCUCGGUCAGCAGGGAAGAACGGUCACUGUGCUAAUCAGCAGUGAAUUGACGGUACCUGCAAAGGAAGCACCGGCUAACUCCGUGCCAGCAGCCGCGGUAAUACGGAGGGUGCGAGCGUUAAUCGGAAUUACGGGGCGUAAAGCGCUCGUAGGCGGUAUGUCUAGUCAAGGGUGAAAUCCCCGCGCUCAACGUGGGAACUGCCUUUGAAACUGGCAAACUGGAGUGUGUGAGAGGUUAGUGGAAUUCCUGGUGU
rnacentral:rRNA from 1 species